GCCGCACCGGGACUGAGACACGGCCCGGACUCCUACGGGAGGCAGCAGUGGGGAAUAUUGGACAAUGGGGGAAACCCUGAUCCAGCCAUGCCGCGUGUGUGAAGAAGGCCUUUUGGUUGUAAAGCACUUUAAGCAGUGAAGAAGACUCUUCGGUUAAUACCCGGAGACGAUGACAUUAGCUGCAGAAUAAGCACCGGCUA
rnacentral:rRNA from 1 species